UGGGGAAUUUUGGACGAUGGGCGCAAGCCUGAUCCAGCCAUGCCGCGUGAGUGAAGAAGGCCUUCGGGUUGUAAAGCUCUUUCGGCUGGGAAGAAAUCGCACUCUCUAAUACAGGGUGUGGAUGACGGUACCAGCAUAAGAAGCACCGGCUAACUACGUGCCAGCAGCCGCGGUAAUACGUAGGGUGCGAGCGUUAUUCGGAAUUACUGGGCGUAAAGCGUGCGCAGGCGGUUGUGUAAGACAGACGUGAAAUCCCCGGGCUCAACCUGGGAACUGCAUCCAAAACUACUGAGCUAGAGUACGGUAGAGGGUGGUGGAAUUUCCUGUGUAGCGGUGAAAUGCUUAGAUAUGACACAGAACACCGAUCGCGAAGGCAGCUAGCUAAGCUAUAACUGACGCUCAUGCACGAAAGCGUGGGGAUCAAACAGGAUUAGAUACCCU
rnacentral:rRNA from 1 species